GGGGGUGAACUAGCUUCGACAGACGGAGUUGAGCUGAAGAUCGCAGGCACGGGUUGGUCAGGGCCCGUCAAAAACCGGACCAAACAACAACUGCCAACACUCAGUUGGCCUGGGCCACUGCCUAACCCGCAGUGAGCACACGCUGGUCCUUGACGCCUGCUAAAGGGUAGCCAGUGUAAUGAGCAGGAUGCGGUCCUUCCCCGUGAACCCGUGGGCGGGGGGCCUAAGACCGAACGGGAUUAGCCCGGAGAGCACGCGUCCAUCGGUUUUCUCCGGGCGAAAUUGAGGAUGGGCUAAGCCUGUAGUGAUCCCAGUCGGCUGCGUUUGGACGCGGGUGCAACUCCCGCCACCUCCACCA
rnacentral:tmRNA from 1 species